GAUGAACGCUGGCGGCGUGCUUAACACAUGCAAGUCGAACGGAAAGGCCCAAGCUUGCUUGGGUACUCGAGUGGCGAACGGGUGAGUAACACGUGGGUGAUCUGCCCCGCACUUCGGGAUAAGCCUGGGAAACUGGGUCUAAUACCGGAUAGGACCACUUCUUGGAGGUUGUGGUGGAAAGUUUUUUCGGUGUGGGAUGAGCUCGCGGCCUAUCAGCUUGUUGGUGGGGUAAUGGCCUACCAAGGCGUCGACGGGUAGCCGGCCUGAGAGGGUGUACGGCCACAUUGGGACUGAGAUACGGCCCAGACUCCUACGGGAGGCAGCAGUGGGGAAUAUUGCACAUUGGGCGCAAGCCUGAUGCAGCGACGCCGCGUGGGGGAUGACGGCCUUCGGGUUGUAAACUCCUUUCGCUAGGGACGAAGCGCAAGUGACGGUACCUAGAGAAGAAGCACCGGCUAACUACGUG
rnacentral:rRNA from 1 species